UACGGGGGGGGCAAGCGUUGUCCGGAAUUAUUGGGCGUAAAGAGCUCGUAGGCGGUUUGUCGCGUCUGCUGUGAAAACUCGGGGCUUAACUCCGGGCCUGCAGUGGGUACGGGCAGACUAGAGUGCGGUAGGGGAGACUGGAAUUCCUGGUGUAGCGGUGAAAUGCGCAGAUAUCAGGAGGAACACCGGUGGCGAAGGCGGGUCUCUGGGCCGUAACUGACGCUGAGGAGCGAAAGCGUGGGGAGCGAACAGG
rnacentral:rRNA from 1 species